UACGUAGGGUGCGAGCGUUAAUCGGAAUUACUGGGCGUAAAGCGUGCGCAGGCGGUUCGUUGUGUCGGCGGUGAAAGCCCCGGGCUCAACCUGGGAAUGGCCGUUGAAACUGGCGAACUGGAGUGUGGCAGAGGGGGGUGGAAUUCCGGCGUGUAGCAGUGAAAUGCGUAGAGAUCGUAAGGAAGACCAGUGGCGAAGGCGGGUCGUCUGGACAGUUCCUGACACUGAGGCACGAAGGCCAGGGGAGCAAACGGG
rnacentral:rRNA from 1 species